UACAGAGGUGGCAAGCGUUGUUCGGAUUUACUGGGCGUAAAGCGCACGUAGGCGGACUAUUAAGUCAGGGGUGAAAGUCCCGGGGCUCCGAACCCCGGAACUGCCUUUGAUACUGGUAGUCUUGAGUUCGAGAGAGGUGAGUGGAAUUCCGAGUGUAGAGGUGAAAUUCGUAGAUAUUCGGAGGAACACCAGUGGCGAAGGCGGCUCACUGGCUCGAUACUGACGCUGAGGUGCGAAAGCGUGGGGAGCAAACAGG
rnacentral:rRNA from 1 species